rnacentral:lncRNA from 1 species
UAUGUUUCUCUAUGAUUGCUGCAUCUAUUUGCACUUAAUGCUUAAUUUUAUUUGUACUGAUGCUUUACCAAUACUUAUAAGUAGUAUAUAUAACCAGAUGCAUGGUCAGACAGAUGUCAAAAUUGUGUUAUGUUCCAAAUUAUGAAACUCAUGGUAUUUCUAGAUUAUGUGUUCACAGGAUAUCCAUUGAAGCUGAAAGGGCUAUGUUCUGCUUGACAUCUAACUUCUUUUCAUCUUAAAAGAACUUGAUUUCCUUACAUGUGAAAGGAAUAUGUAGAAGAUGCAAAGAAAAGAUCCCAAGAGGAAUGGGAGUCCAAGCGAUUUCAGAGAAAAAAUUGAUACCAAAGACAGUUCUUUUUGUUUUGCCAGUAAUACAGACUUCUUCAUUAAAAAUAUCUUUACAACACCCCUUUUAAUUGAAGAAUCUAAUUAAUUCAUAAGCCUAUAUAAUCCGUUUACUUUUCCCCCUUGAAAAGCUAAACAAGUGAAGGGGUUUGUUUUCACCUUGAGGUGACCUCAAGAAGGCCUUAGGACACUUUGGAUAUAGCAUCAUAGUGGUUCUCCAGCUUCCUUCUGUUUGCACCUCUGCCGUUGUGUUUUUUUUCCCUGUUAUGAUUAUUUUAUCUCUCAUAUAGGUCCAAGGUCAAAUUAGCCUUUUGUGUCAUGGAACACUGAGCUUUGGGUUGGCACGCUACGCGAUGUCAGAGUUUGAGUUAUUGGCAGAAGAGCUUUUGAUGAGUGAUUCUGUGAUUAAGGUAAGUGGUUGAAUCUCCUUGUAAGUACAGAUGUUGUUUCGUUAUCAUUGUAAUGCCCCCAAGCUAUUUUCUUUAGUUAUAUGGAAGUGUUCACGGAGUGUUCCAAUUGGAAACUCCUUUUCACAUCUAUUUUUCGUCUACAAGUGUCUUGAUAAACUCUCACUAUGGUGAAUUCAGAUUUAUAUGGUCCAAUGAAAGCAAGACUGCGGGUGGUGCAAAUUUACUUUGUUAAUUUCAUUGAUGAUUGCUCAAGAAUCAUUUUAUACUGCUCUUUGGAGUGUCAAAACUUUUGAUGCAUAUACUUGUAUUAACCACUGGAAACAUCAACACAUAAUACAACUACAUAUUGCAGCAUGCAUGUUUUUCUGAAGAUUGUGCAACCUUCAAUGUUUUCCUAAAGCUAUACAUGAAUGUUGAGCUAACAUCUUAGCUAACAAUCAGUUUUCCACUUCUCACUGUUCUGUUGUAAUAUACCCUAACAACAGCUUAACUAACCAUUAACCAUAAAGAUCUCCUUAGAGUCUUGCAUUUUCUGGUACUGUGAUAUAAAAGCAUAAAAAUAAUAUAAAUUAAAGAAGAAAGGCUCCAUGGGUAACCACAGCUGAAUAGACUGAAGCAGGCUUCUUUAGCUUUAGUACCAGCUUUUCACACUGCUAUAUCUUUGCUUCUUGUACUUAAAAGUGACUCUCCUUUUACUAUAGUUGCCAAAAGCUGUCAAGUAUCACAACAACUCACUGAAUGUAAGUUGAAAAAUCAUCCUUGGUCAGUUAUCUUGAGAAUCUUCUAUAUCUAGCAUUACAUGAUCUAGAGUUAUAUAUCUGUACAUCAAAACGAUUUAGUAUUCUAGCUUAGAUGUUGGCUAUAAUAUAUCUAUACAUCAAAACGAUUUAGGAUUCUAGCUUAGAUUAGAUGUUGGCUAUAAUUGUUUUGGUUACUGGAAAAAAAUGGUUACAAUAAUAGUGAAGAUGAAUCUUAAUUUUGUGCAAUGUGCAGCACCAGUUUUAAAACUGCGCUCCAACACCUCGUCUUUAUUGCAAAAAUGAUUUGCAUGUGUUGGAGAAAAAGUAGAGUUUAUAUUUCUCUUUCCUUGAUUAUUUUGGGUUCAUAAGCAGCCAAAAGAUUUGGGAUCUGUUGUGUAUAAUGUUUCUACUAGAAUAUGAGUAAAAAUAAGAAUAGUAUAUAGAAAUCCUACUUGGAAAAGGAUUAUAAUAUAGUGUUUAUAAAUAGGAUCUCGAUGUAAUUGUGUAAACACACAAUUCAAUAAUAUUUUUCUCCAUUAAUUCUCACAGGGUAUAUUAGAGUGUUAGUGAGAAAUUUUAGAAAAGAAAACCCAGUCACUGUGCGUCAAUUCCGGUGACUGAUUUGUGUCCUUUUUUAUUUUGUGGGUUGUGUGAAAAUUACACCACCACCAAGAGGAUCGGGAAGCUCAACAGACAAAAAACCCGACGAAAAUCGCCGGGAUAAUACCAGCCACACGCCGACACGUGCCUGCUGGAAUUCUAAAAUUCCAGCGAGAUCUAGUCACGCGCCGAUGCGUGAACCCAUUUCCAAUCGAAUUUUUGAGUAGUUCUUUUUUUGUUGGGGUCGCUGAACCAUUUCCACUCUGACCAGUUACUAUUUUUUCAGAUUCCGGCAAUAUUUGAAGAUUCCAACCGCCGGAAUCCUAAUAUCGGCGACCUCAAUUUUUUUUUUCUUUUCUGCACAUCCAGAUCCUGUUUCUUGGUGUUUUCAUAUUAAAAUUUCCAAGAUGUCUUUUGGGUAUGAUGUUUUUGGUCCCAAAACUUCUAGAAUCGAAAGUUCAAGUCCUAUGAUCACUUCCGAACCAUUAAUGGGAAGUUCAAAUUAUUUAGCCUGGGCUUCCUCGGUUGAGUUGUGGUGCAAAGGUCAAGGUGUCCUAGAUCACUUAACGAACAAGACUAGUGUGGUAGAUGAAAAGGCAAAAUCUAGCGCGGAAUAUGCGAAAGCUAAAGAACAAUGGGAGAAAGUUGACGCUCAAUUAUGUAGUCUCUUAUGGCGACCUAUUGAUUCCAAGUUGAUGCCCUUGUUUCGUCCAUUCUAGAAGUGUUAUUUAGUUUGGGAAAAGGCUCGUGCUUUAUACACUAAUGACAUAUCUCGUUUUUAUGAUGUGAUAUCUCGAAUCACCAAUGUGAAGAAACAAGAAUCCGAUAUGUCUACUUACUUGGGACAAGUACAAGCAGUCAUCGAAGAAUUUGAUGCAUUGAUGCCCGUCACUGUGGAUGUGGAAAAACAAAAAGAGCAUAGACAAAUGUUGUUUUUAGUUCUUACACUUGCUGGACUUUCUACUGAUCAUGAUGUUGUACGUGAUCAGAUUUUAGCUAGUCCUACGAUUCCUACAAUUGAUGAGUUAUUCUCUCGUCUGCUUCGUCUUGCCGCGCCUCCCAAUCACAAAGUGAUUUCAUCACCCGCUGUUGACUUCUAUUCUUGCAUCUCAAAUCAUAGAAAAACAAACAUAUCAGCCUGUGGAAAAUCGGCGAGGAUGAGGUCGUUUCGAAAAAUCUCGAUCGAAAUGUAGUUAUUGUCAUAAAGUUGGACACACUCAGGAUAUAUGUCGUAGUUUGCAUGAUCCACCACCCAGUUAUGAUUAAAGGAAUAUAAUGAGUUCCUUCAGAAUCGAGCAAGUAAGCAGAUAUCUCCACAGCCUAAUCAACCAUCCAAUAGUGCACAUAAUGCCCAAACAGAAUAUGAUGAGUUCCUUCAAGUAUCAAGUAAGUAAGCAGACAUCUCCACGAGUAGCCUCGGUUGCCCAGCCUGAUGCUUCUGUUGCUGGUAAUCCUUUUGCUUGUAUUUCACAGUCUAGUACUCUUGGAUCAUGGGUUGUGGACUCAGGUGCUUCUGAUCAUAUUUCUGGUAACAAACCACUUUUGUCUGAUAUUGUUUAUUCACAAUCACUUUCUACUAUUACUUUAGCCAAUGAGAUCCGAACACAACCAAAAGGAGUUGGACAAGCCAAACCCCUAUCUUCUGUAACUCUAGACUCUGUUCUUUAUGUCCCUGGUUGUCUUUUUAAUCUUGCAUCUCUUAGUCGUCGUUUGACACGUGCCCUUCAUUGUAGCAUAACUUUUUUUGAUCACUCUUUUCUAAUGCAGGACCGCAUUACGGGACAGACAGUCGGUUGGUGCAGGACAUGAAUCACAAGGCCUUUACCAUCUUACCUCUUCAAAUCCUUUCACAACAUGCUUCGUCACAGACCCUCCAGACUUAAUUCAUAAACAUUUGGGACAUCUGAGUCUAUCUAAGCUACAAAUGAUGGUUCUUGAUUUGUCUAGUUUAUCCACAUUAGAUUGUGAGUCAUGUCAACUUGGGAAACACACCCGUGCUACUUUCUUCAGCGUCUAUUUUCUCAUUAGUUCAUUCUGAUGUUUGGGUACUCGUAGAGUCAGUUCACCUAUAGGUUUUCGUUAUUUUGUUAGUUUCAUUGAUGAUUUUGCAAGAUAUACUUGGAUUUUCUUAAUGAAAGAUCGUUCUGAGAUAUUUUCUUUAAUCAAAACUUUUUCUACUGAAAUACAAACUCAAUUUGGUGUUUCUAUUCGUACUUUUCGUUGUGAUAAUGCCUUAGAAUACUUAUCCUCUCAGUUUCAGGAGUUUAUGACUCAUCAAGGAGUUGUUCACCAUACAUCUUGUUCGUACACCCCUCAGCAAAAUGGUAUAGCAAAAAGAAAAAAUAGGCAUUUUCUUAAGACUGCUCUCUCUUUUCUCAUUGAAUUUCAUGUUCCGUUGCAUUUUUGGGGCGAUGUAGUCCUCACAUCUUGUUAUCUAAUUAAUAGAAUGCUAUCAUCUUCCAUUCAGAAUAAGGUUCCCUAUUCUAUAUUGUUUUCACAAUCUCUAUUUUAUCCCCCCCUCGUGUCUUUGGGAGCACAUGCUUUGUUCAUAACUUAGCCCCUGGAAAAGAUAAAUUAACCCUCGUGCUCUUAAGUGUGUUUUCCUCUCGAGUUCAAAAAGGGUAUCGUUGUUAUUCACCGAAUCGUCGUUGCUACUUUAUGUCUGCUGAUAUCACUUCUUUUGAAUCUCGACGUUACUAUAUAUCUUCUGAUCAUCCUGAUAUCUUUGAGAUUUUACCCAUUUCUCUAGUCUUACCCUCACCAUCCUUGGUUCCAGUCUUACCUGCACCAUCCUUGGUCCUACUCGUAUCUCCAAACUUACCCGAACCAACCUUUGAGGAAUCAACGGUUACUUCUACGUCUCCAGCUGCAGUGCCACCACUUCUGACUUAUCAUCGUCGUCCGCAUCCACCAUUAGUCCCAGAUGAUUCAUGUCAUGCGUUGGACGCUGUUCCUACUGCAAACUUGCCUUCUCCUAGCCAAUCAGUUGCACUUAAAAAAGGUAUGCGUUCCACCCGUAAUGCUAACCCACAUUAUACUUUUUUGAGUUAUCAUCGUUUAUCAUCACCCCAUUAUGCUUUUGUGUAUCCUCUUUGUCCUCUAUUUCCAUCCUCAAGACUAUAGGUGAAGCACUUUCUCAUUCAGGAUGGAAGCAGGCUAUGUUAGAUGAGAUGUCUGCUUUACAUACAAGUGGUACAUGGGAGCUUGUUUCCCUUCCUUCAGGUAAAUCUAUUGUUAUGCAGUCAAAGUUGGUCUAGACGGUCAGGUUGAUCAGGUUGAUCGGCUUAAGGCUUGCCUUGUUGCCAAAGGAUACACACAAAUAUUUGGGCUUGAUUACAAUGACACUUUCUCUCCAGUGGCUAAAAUAGCAUCUGUUCCUCUUUUCCUAUCCAUUGCUGCCGUUCGCCAUUGGCAUCUUUAUCAGUUGGAUAUUAAGAAUGCUUUUCUGCAUGGUGAUCUUGAGGAAGAAGUCUAUGUGGAGCAACCACCUGGUUUUGUUGCUAGGGGGAGUCUAGUAGCCUUGUAUGUCGAUUGCGCAAGUCACUCUAUGGUCUGAAACAGUCUCCUCGAGCUUGGUUUGGAAAAUUCAACGCAGUAAUUCAGCAGUUUGGCAUGAUCCGUAGUGGAGCUGAUCACUUAGUGUUUUUCGACAUUCUCAACCAAAUGUGGUUUAUGUUGAUGAUAUCGUUAUCACCGGCAAUGAUGAAGAUGGUAUCACUAAAUUGAAGCAACAUCUCUUUCAACAUUUUCAGACCAAAGACCUCGGUAGGCUGAAGUAUUUUCUAGGUAUUGAGGUUGCUCAAUCCAGAUCAGGUAUUGUUAUUUCUCAACGCAAGUAUGCGUUAGACAUUCUCGAGGAGACAAGAAUGAUGGGCUGUAGACCCAUUGACACUCCUAUGGAUCCAAAUGCUAAACUUUUACCAGGACAGAGGAGCCACUCAGUGAGCCUGAAAGGUAUAGGCGGUUGGUUGGAAAGUUGACUUAUCUCACCGUGACAGGACCUGACAUAUCCUUUCACCGUGACAAGACCUGACAUAUCCUUUCCCGUGAGUGUUGUAAGUCAGUUUAUGACUUCCCCCAUGAUAGUCACUGGGAUGCAGUUCUUGGUUUUCUGCGAUAUAUAAAGUCGGCUCCCGUUAAAGGACUAAACUUUGAGGAUCGAGGUCACGAGCAUAUCAUUGGAUACACAGAUGCUGAUUGGGCAGGAUCACCCUCUGAUAGAUGUUCUACCUUCGGAUAUUGUGUUUUAGUAGGAGGUAAUUUGGUGUCUUGGAAGGGUAAGAAACAAAGUGUGGUUGCUCGAUCUAGUGCGGAAGCAGAAUAUCGAGCAAUGACUGUAGCAACUUGUGAGCUAGUUUGGAUUAAGCAGUUGCUAAGAGAAUUAGUAUUUGGAGAAACCGGCAAGAUGGAACUUGUAUGUGAUAAUCAAGCUGCCCUUCAUAUCGCUUCAAAUCCAAUGUUUCACACAUAGAGAUUGAUUGUCAGUUUGUCGGAGAAAAGAUACUCUCAGGAGAUAUUGUUACAAAAUUUGUGAAGUCAAGUGAUCAACUUGCAGAUAUCUUCACCAAGCUCCUCAUCGGUCCUCGUAUUAAUUACAUUUGUAACAAGCUAGGUACUUCUGAUUUGUAUGCACCAGCUUGAGGGGGAGUGUUAGAAUAUGAGUAGAAAUAAGAAUAGUAUAUAGAAAUCCUACUUGGAAAAGGAUUGUAAUAUAGUGUCUAUAAAUAGGAUCUCAUGUAAUUAUGUAAACACACAAUUCAAUAAUAUUUUUCUCCAUUAAUUCUCCAUUAUUUUGGGUUCAUAAGACGCCAAUGACUUGGGAUCUUUUGUAUAUUGUUCCUUAUUUGAUUGUUGUAUAAUGUUUCUAUCAUGAUUAAGAAUUCGAGGAAGGGUUGUCAUAAUUAUUUAUUGAGACGAAGAGAAACUGGAAUUUUAUUUACUGACGAUGUAUGGUCUAACUUACUGCUUCUUUUCUCGUCAUGUUAUAUGCUCUGUACCAACUUCAUCCAGUCUAAGUUUUGCUUGUAUGGUUUUAUGCUUACUUUAGUUUCUUUGGCAUUAUAAGUUCUUCACUGUGCUUCUAGAAGACCAGAAGCAUGUUCCAGUUGCAGCUCUUGUACUCAUUGUCCCCAAUGCUGUGUUUUGUAUUAUGUAGUUCUGAAGUUUUUGCAGUGAAUGUUAUUUGACUUGUUUUUUUUUCAGGUUUUUGGAGCACUACGAAUGUCUGUCAAAAUGUUUCUGAUGUGGAAUUCAAAAAUGGUAAUUGAUGGUGGUGGAGAUCAAAAUGUUGAGACAACAAUGGUCGAAGCUAGUAACCUAAUUGUUCUUAAGGUGCUCUUUCUUUUUCGUUUGCUGUUUUUCUUGGUUGUCUUCACAAUUGUUCAUUUGAGAUGUCUUCUAAAUGCCAUCUAAUGCAGGAGUCAUCUCAAAUUCGUUCGAAUGCAAAUCUUGGAGUGCAUGGCCAAGGGUUGCUGAAUUUAUCUGGACCAGGAGAUGCGAUUGAAGCUCAAAGACUAGUACUGUCUUUGUUUUACAGCGUCAAUGUGAGCAGAAAUCUUGUUCUGUAUCCUACUGUUUCUGUUCUUUGUAGAUGAUGUGCAAUAGAUUUCUAACUGGUUCUACACUUGCUUUCUCUCGACACACUUGAUUUUUCUUCCUCAUUUGAUCUUUUAUGUGUUUUAGUAUCAGUAUAUGGAUUUUUACAUCGCGGUUAGUAUUUUCCUAUUCCUCGCCACCUUUCUGUGAAUAUCAGAUGCAUGAUAAUGUAUGCCAUGGUCUUCACGUACACAUCUGCAUAUCUGCUGUUAGUGUUCCACUUUUCUCACUCGCAAGGUCGUAACUAAGCAUCUUCUUUCCUCAGUUUUUCACCUGGUCUAUGUUCUGACUCAGCUCCUUAGACCUGAGGAGUUUGGUAUUCCAGUUCUGGAACCUCAUGUGUCGGUUGAGUUGAUCAUUUUUUUCUAUGUAUUAUACUACUUUUUAAUUUUCUUGCCCUAUUUUCUCUUGUCACAUGCAGAUUGGGCCUGGAUCCGUUUUGCGUGGUCCUUCACGAAACGCCACAGCGGAUGCUGUGUGAGUUCCUAAUUACUCCUUGUUCCUCCCCCCCUACUGUCUCUUACCCUAGAUGCUUCUUUGAUUUGCUAAUGGGAUAUUUGGUGCUUGGUAGGAAACCAAAGUUGAACUGUGAUAGUCCAGGUUGUUCUUUUGAAUUGCUCCACCCUCCUGAAGACUGCAAUGUGAACUCUUCACUGUCCUUUACUUUACAGGUGUGCGGUUAUCGACCCACUACCAAAAUAGAAGUCUUUAUAUAAUAUGUGCCUAGAUUGUACACUACACUUGUGCAACUCUAAUACUUCUUUUAUCUGCAGAUCUGUCGAGUUGAGGAUAUUCUUGUUGAAGGCCUCAUAGAAGGAUCUGUUGUUCAUUUCCACAGAGCAAGGACUAUAGAUGUGCAACCUUAUGGAAUUAUUAGCACAUCGGGAAUGGGUCUGAUCUUAAUUUCCUUCAGUUUAUAUUUGAUGUGAUUGUCUUAGUUUUUUUCUUUUUUGUCAACCCCUUGUUUUUAGUAUCUAUAGGCUUUUGUUCGGCAGGGUUUAGUCAUUGCUCGGAUGGAAUGUUGCGCACGUUCAUCUUUAGGAUAUUAAAAAUGUCUGAUAAGCUUGAGAAAAACUAGUGAUAUAUACUAUUCAAUGCUUUUAGAGUUCAAAUUUCUUUGUUAAUAAAAGAUUUUACCUUAAAUAAAGAACCGCAAAAUUUAGAUGCAAAUUUCAAUAAUCCAUCAAACAAAUCAAACUACAACAAUUUACUUAAUCUAUUUCUAAUUGAAUCAUAUAUAACCUCAUUGUUCACCUAUUCCAUUUUGUUGUCUCCAUAGGUUGCACUGGGGGAGUAGGCCAAGGAAAGGUUCUGAGCAAUGGUCUUGGUAGCGGUGCUGGUCAUGGCGGUGAAGGCGGAUAUGGAUAUUAUAAUGGGAGCUGCAUUGGGGGUGGCAUGACAUAUGGAGAUCCCAGUUUGCCAUGUGAACUCGGCAGUGGAAGUGGGACUACUAGCCUAGCUGGAUCAACUUCUGGUGGUGGUGUUCUGGGUAAGUUUGAGGUUGUCCCAACUUCAACUUUCUUCCCUGUGGUAGCUUUAUCAUAAUUAAAACACCUGAUAUUCUGUAUAUGAGAAGUGACAAACCUGCAGGCGGAUGAUAAAUUAUACUCCCUCUGUGUGUGGCACGCUUGCCUUUUUGGUCCGUCCCCCCAAAAAUGUCACCUUUAUUUGGCAACUAUUUAAUGGCAUCCUCCCCAUUUUAUCCUUAUUGGGUCCCAUUUAACAAGAUUAGUCAACUAAUAAAGAGUAGCUUAACAAAGUCUUCUCCUAUUUCUUAAACUCCGUGCCCAGUGAAAUGAUGCCACAUAAAUUGGGACAGUGGGUGUAUUUGGUAAUGAAACAAAUUGCAUAAACAUCUAUUGCUUUACUGAUUUUGUAUUGUAAGUGUGAAAUUCUUCAUAUGACUUGAAGUCUCCUCCAUAUGUGUAGUAGUAUCAUUAUCAUGGCAUGCCGUGGACCUAGGUGCAAAAUGGCAAUGUAUGCUUUGUAAUGCAGAAAUUUAAUGCUAAGCUGCAACAGUUUUAAAUGCCAUUUCUUUUGGUCGCAUCUAUAGAAAGAGCCUUCUUUUUUUUUUUAAAUGAUAACAUAUCUAUAGCGAGAGCGUUCCAUUCUAUUGAGGUCAGACCAACUCUGCAUUCAUUCUUUUUUGAUCCCCAAAACAGAUUUUAUUGGACGAAUUGAUCACCUCAAUUACUUAAAUUUCGAAGGGAAGAUAUCUCAUUCGAAUUCCCCCUGUAUGAGUGGUAUAAAUAGGUAGAGUAUCUGCCAAAAUAUAUGGUUAAAUUUUGAAGGGAAAAUGUCUCAUUCAACUUUCCCCUCCAUGAGUGGUACACAUAGGUGGAAAGCUUUCCAAAUUUAUGGUUCUUUCCAAAUACUAUGCAAUUAUAUAUGUACUAGUACAUGCCUCACUAGUGCACCAAAACUUAACCAGUACAAAACCAUUUUCCACACUUCCCAAGCUUCCCCUUUUCUUCUAAGUAUCUGCAUAUUAGACAAAGGUUGUUUUGUCACAUGCUCCUACAUGUCUACUCCUUUAUCAGAAAACCCAGCUUAAUGUAACAUCCUUUACUGUAGUGUGUAAUGUUCGAUGUUUUAAGACACAGUAGUGUCCACCAUAAUUGAUGAGCAACCAAAACUGUUGUAACAAUUGGUCCACUUCUCUCAAGCAGUUCUAUGUGUAUGUUGUGACACUACUAGUUACUCCUUUUUCUAAUUGAGUAAUAGUUACAGAUGAUUUCUGUGGUUGGCCAAACUAGUUUGGGGUUGGGGCAUAGUUGAGUGUUCCUUGAUUAACGAUUAUUGGUUUUUUAAAGAUGGUGUAGCAAAAAAGGGUUGGAAAAUGUUUCUCAAUUUUUUUUUUAAAUCAUGCAUAGGUGGACUUUAAUUAGCCAACUUACAAUAAAAAAUCUGCAUAAAUCAAAAUUCAAAAACCUAAACAAAAUUCAAAAACCUAAAAUAUCUCAAAAAACUAAAACAACCUACUAAAAACUUAAAAUUCAAAUCAUCCUAAACCUUGCAACUUAAUAUGCUAAAAAAUUACUGAACUAACGUGAAUUUCAACAAAGAUCUCGGGUCUUCGUGUUUUCCAUAUUUGGCUAUAAUUGUAUCCAAAUCUAAUGCUACUACUUUCGUUGAGCUCCUCUUUUUCUUCACUUCUCCCAAUUAAGGUCCAAAUACCUUUUCUUUAAAAAAAUCAAAAAGUUACAUUAAUAAGUGCACCAAGUCGGUGUCAAAAAGUAAGUACAAAUUGUGCGUGUGACUCUGCUGGAGACAAUUGUCUUCCACCAAGUUUUCCCAACGUAUGAUAAAAAAGUAUCUUCUCCUUACACCAGAAGUACAAGUGAAAUGGAAAUCCUCUUUCCCGUCAAAGGCAGAGCCAACCCUCUUUAAAAUAUACUAUUUAUACAUGAUUAAAAUUAUUUUUUAUGUAGUUAUAGUAGGUGUUGAACCCCCAUCGACUGAGUUUUCUUUGAAUAUUGAACCCCCUUACUUGAAAUUCUGGCUCCGCCUCUGUUUCCUGUGAGCUCCCUCACUGGCUUUCUUUCCUCCUAAAUGGGAAGGAAAUCUUUCUUUAUUUCUGGGGACAAAUCGUUCGAAGUGUGUGAAGAAAGCGAUGGCUGGUUUGUUUGGGUUGAGUGUGGACGGAGGGUUUGCAACCAGAUUAAGUUUGAUGAGAACUUAAGAUGGGUUUGCGAGCAAAUGCAACAGGCGUCGUGUGGGUACGGGAAUCUUUACAGGAGGUGGGGAAGGAAGAUUCAAAAUUAUCGUUACAGUGUGUACCAAUAUUUUAAUAGCUAUGAAAGAUACAUAAGAAUCGAAACAAGGAAAGGGGAAGGGAAAUCAAUAAUAAUAAUACCAGAAGCAGGUUACAACAAGGGUUGGGGAGACAUAACAGGGAAGAUACUACAUUCUCUGGGAGAAGCACCCACUUACAAGUACAGGAAAUUCACAAAUCUGCAAAAUAAAUCUUUUCUCAAUGCUGCUGAAAUUACUGAUUGGCCUAAUCUUCAGGGAGGAAAAACUGAAAGUCACCAACGAAACCACUGGUGAAAACUUCCUCUUUCUCCCAGAAUGCUUAGUCGGAUGCUUCAAUGACCCUUUCCACCGGAGCCUCAAUACUGAAAUUAUUCAAAAGUGGUUUACUUCCAGAUGGCAGGUGACAGCUGGUUUGAGGAUAACUUCCAUGGCACACAAUAAAUUUCUGUUCGAGUUUCCUUCGAAACAAGAGGCUGCUAGGGUGAAAGCAGGUGAUUGGUUUUGGAAUGGUCGACAUCUUCAAUUAGAAUGGUGGUCGCCGGAAUUCGGGACCUCUCCGGUGGGGCACGGAGCAGACCAUAGAUGGCUUAAAGUGUUUGGUAUUCCUCUUCACAGAUGGAAAAUGAACACUUUUCGCUAUAUCGAAGACCUAUGUGGUGGAUUUAUUGGCAUAGAUGAAGAUACAAAGAGUAGAGUGCAUUUAUUUUGGGCUCGAAUAUGCGUGAAAGCCUCUGCCACUGAAACCCCCAAAACCCCCAGUGAAGCCGUUCUAGUGCUGGGUGAUUUGAGAUUUGGAAUCUCUAUCUUGGAGGACAAAUUAGUGGAUCUAAAGGUCGCCAGGGAUGGAGCAACAGUUGCUACCGUGACGGAGCGAGAUACGGGAUUGGAUAAGGCAUCCUCGAGCCAAGCGAAGGAUCUGUAGCAAUACCUACUGGUCUAUAGCAAAGAAUACAGGGGUUCAGAGAACUUUAACUCAAAUAAAUUUCCGGUGGACCCCAAUCUUAAAACAAAGCAGUUGUCUCAAAACCCUAAUCCCAGAUAUAACAAAGUGGCGGCUAAACAAUUGGGCCAAAAACUAGACAACUCAUAUAUUAUUCAAAAGGACCAAGGCCCAAAACAUCUUCCAGGAGAAAAUUUGAGAAAUAGUUGGCAAAAAGGGGGAAACUACAGAAAUAGCCUCAAAAUAAGGUGACUUUCAAAUUUUGACCUCAAAUAAAAAAAGCUUCAUAAAAAUAGCCUUUAACUAUUAAGUGAUAUAUUUUCAGACAAAAUUGCCCCUGACUAAUGGAGUAAAUUCCAUAGAUGAUCCUCAUAAUGGAUAACAACUUCAUACAUUCAUCUUUCAACUUUUAUUUUUUUCUCUUUUUAAUUUUACUUUGAUUUUUAUUUUUUCUUUUCUCUUUUUAUUUUUGUAUUUUCUCAACCCUUACCUUUUUCCUUUUUUCCACUCAACUCCUUUUUUUUUCUUUUUUAUUUUACUUUGAUUUUUUAUUUUUUCUUUCCUUUUUUUUUUUUGUUCCUUUUUAGUUUUUUUUCAACCCUUACUUUUUUUAUUUACUCCUCUCAACGUCUACUUUUAUAAAAAAGGCUUUUUUUUAUUUUUCUUUGAUUUUUAUUUUUUCUUUUCUUUUUUUUCUUCUUAAGUUUUUCUCGGCCUUUAUUUUUAUUUUAUCUUUUUUUUUUCUUCUUUUUAUCAACCUUUAUUUUAUUUUCCAUUCUCUCUCAAGUUCUACAUUUUCUUUGAUUUUUUAUUUUUUAAUAUCUUUCUUUAUUUUUUUUUAGUAAUUUUUAUUAUUUUUUUUUCUUUUCUUCGAUUUCUUCCAAUCAAGUUAUAUUUCAUGAGCAAGAGUUGACACUAUCUCAUUAUAAAGGCAAGACUUAUGACUUUCAAACAACAAGCUACGUUUCAUGGGCAAGAAUUUACACUGUCAUAUUGUAGAGGCAAGACUUAUGACUUUCAAAUAACAAGUUAUGUUUCUUGGGCAAAAGUUGACACUACCACAUUGUGUUUUGAUUUAUAAGAUGUUCUAUAACUCUUAUCUUAGAGGCAAGACUUAGCUCAAGGAUUUUUAAUAAACAACAAAUUAUGCCCCACAGACAAGAGUUGACUCAACUAUGUUAUGUUUUCAUUUAUGUGAUGUUCUACAACUAUUACCUUAGAGGCAAGACUUAGCUCAAGGACUUUCAAACUACAAAUUAUGCCCCACAGGCAAGAGUUGACACUACCACGUUGUGUCUUUCUUUAUGAGAUGUUCUACAACUCUUGCCUUAGAGGCAAGACUUAGCUCAAAAACUUUUAAACUAUGACACUACCAUGCUAUUUCUUCAUUUAUGAGGUUCUACAACUCUUGCCUUAGAGGCAAGACUUAGCUCAAGGACUUUCAAACUACAAAUUAUGCUCCACCGGUAAGAGUUUACACUAUCACGUUAUGUAUUUAUUUAGGAGAUGUUCACAACUCUCGCCUUAGAGACACGACUUAUCCCAAGAAUUUUCAAACAAGUUACGUAUAUUGGGCAAGAGUCAACACUAACACAUUGUGUUUUUUACUCAUGAAAUUCUCUUUUAACUCUUGUGUUAGAGGCAAGAUUCAGCCUAAGGAUCAUCAAACAAGAAGUUAUGCCCCUUGGGCAAGAGUUAACACCGCCACGUUUUGUAUUAAUUUAUGAGAUGUUUUAUAACUUUUCCCUUAGAAACAAGACUUAGACCAAGAACUUUCAAGUAACAAGUUGUACCCCAUGGGCAAGAGUUGAUAUUAUCACAUUGUGUUUUGAUUUAUGAGAUAUUUUAUAACUCUUGGCUUAGAGACAAGACUUAACCCAAAGACUUUCAAAUAACAAGUUACACUCCAUGGGUAAGAAUUAACACCACCACAUUAUGCUUUGAUUUAUGAGAUGUUCUAUAACUCUUGCUUUAGAGGCAAGACUUAGUCCACGGACUUUUAAACAAAAAGUUACGCUUCACAGAUAAGAUUUGACGCUACCACAUUGUGUCAUAAUUUAUGAGAUGUUUUAUAAAUCAAGGACUUUUAAACAGCAAGUUAUGCCCCAUGGGUAAGAGUUGACGCUACCACAUUAUUUUUUGAUUUAUGAGAUGUUUUAUAACUCUUGCCUUAGAAGCAUGACUUAAGGAUUUUCAAACAAGUUAUGCUCCACAAACAAGACUUGACACUAUCACAUUAUGCCUUGAUUUAUGAGUUGUUCUAUAAUUUUUGCCUUGGAGGCAACACUUAUCCCAAAGAACUUCUUAACAACAAUUCAUGUCCUUAAAUUUGCAUUGAUGACAAAAAAAAGAUCCCUUUGCAGAUUAUCCAAUUUUUUAUUUAUUAGCAAAAUAUAAUAGAAAUUGAGAAAAAAGAAACAAGAGAUUAAAAAAAAUAGAAAAAUAAAAAAAAAAGAUUAAGAAAAAAGAGAAGAAUUAAAAAAAUUGAGAAAAACAAAAAUGAGAGGAAAAAAAUAAAAAUAAAGUUUAAGAAAAAUGAGGAAAAAAGGAGAUGAUAAAAACAAAAAAUAAAAGAAAAAUAAAUGUUGAGACAAAUGAAUUAAAAAAAGAAAAAAAAAUGAAGAAAUAAAUAAUGUUUAAGAAAAAAGAAAAAAGAGAAAAAAAUAAAUGUUGAGAUAAAUGAAUUAAAACAUGGAAAUAAAAUUAAAGGAAGAAUCAAAAAGUGAAAAUAAUAAAAAUAAAAAUAGAAUUUUAGAGACAAAUGAAUAUGGAAAAUUUAAAAAUAUUUGAGGUGUAGAGGGGUAAAAAAUUGUACUUGUACUGUACUUAAAAAGAAAAGGCUAGUCUUUAAAGACUUUUUUUAUUAAGGUCAAAAAUCCAAAGUCACCCACUAUUGGGGCUAUACCAUGUAAUUUCUCGGGCAAAAAGACCUUUUUUUGACCCAUGUUCUCAUAAAAGAAGUCCGUUAAGACUUGAGAAUUAUUUUGACCCACUCACUGAAGAAAUAAAGAACGCAAAAGAUGGGAAAAUUAAGAUGACACCUUCAAGGGUGGCAAGCGACUUAUCAUUUCAACUUGAUAAUGAAGCAGAUUACGAAACAGAGCCGAUGGCCAUGAUAAUUCUAAGACCUAUGCAGCCAAGCGAUUUUGUAACAGUAAACAGUUUCGAUGCUGAAUAUUCCUCCAGUGAUAAUCUUCUCCUUCCUUAAUUUGAAGCUUGGACAUUCUUCUACUCAAGUCACUCGCUCCCCUUCCCCUCUUGUAGUUGAUACUUCAAGAUGGACUAAAACUGUGAUGUACAAGGCAUGCAAAGCCUUUGGGAUUAAUACAGUGGGGUUUGAACAUGAAAUUCUCGAUAUGGUCCUACGAAUGGAGCGAAAGAGGCAAUCACAAAUUGAGCAGCGAAAAGCAUCCUCCAACACCAGAAACAAGGGGACAAAGAAACAGUCUUUAGAGCUUGAGAGGUUGAGUUGGGGUAUGAAUUUAGAGGGUAGAAAGUCAAGUGAUCGGGACAAGACCUACAAAGCCUUCUUUGAAUGAAGAUUAAAAUAUUAAGUUGGAAUGUGCGGGGGCUGAAUAAGGCCGAUAAGUGAACUACAAUCAAAUCUCUCAUCCAUAAAUGGAAAACAGAUAUAGUAUGUUGAUAAGAAACAAAAGUGGCAGAAUGGACUCCUUUUCAUAUUAGACAAGUCUAGGGGAACCACUGGGUAGAAUGGGCGGAGCUAAAGCCAAAUGGAAGAAGUGGCGGCAUUAUUGUACUAUGGGACAAAAGAUUCUGGUCUAAAUUGAUGUGCAACUUGGGGCAUAUACCAUUUCUUGUAUGUUGGAAAGCUCUCACGACCUCUUCAGGUGGUGUGAAGUGCUUCACAGGGGUUCAUGGACCCACUCAAACCCUAAGAGGGAAGAACUAUGGCAUGAAUUGGCAGCUAUCAGAGGUCUUUGGGAUGAACAGUUGGUGAUAGGAGGUGAUUUCAAUGUUUGUAUGUAUGAAAGUGAAAGAUACAACUGCGAUCAAGGGCCAUGAAAUCUUUCACAGACACCAUUCAAGACCUGGGCAUCAUUGAUCUACCAUUACAGAGGGCUCAUUAUACAUGGUUCAGAGGGGGGUGACUCAAUGCAAGCUUCUAGAAUCGACAGAUUCCUAAUCUCUUCAGAAAGGGAUGCAAACUUCAAUGCUAUCAAGCAGUUAGCUCUGCCAAGUGAUACGGGACAGCCACCAACACUCGAUAACAAGAUGGAAACACACGAUAACAAGAUGGAAACUAAGCUAUGGUAGCAACACCAAACCGAGAACAUAAGAAACAAACACAACAAAUGCGAUAAAGUAAGACAGAUAGUGAGACAUACACUAUUACAAGAAGUAGGAACUAAAGGAUGUAUCAAAUCCUAGAACCCGUAAGACUUACAAUAGUAACACCACACUCUUACGUAGACACAAGAGGGAAUCCACCCCUCAAGCACCGACGUUUCUCGCCAAAAUGCAAUACUAGUGAUUCCAUACUAAGUGCUACCCUAGUUACGGUUUUCACUCUCUCAAGAGAUGAGUUCUUUCAAUCAUUCAUCUUUCAAAAAACUAAGUGAAAUAAACCUAAUAAGUGUUUAUUUAUGGGCUAUUACAUAAAGGGAAGAAAAAAACAAGAUGCCCUUAAUGAAAGAGGGGAGGCCAUGGUGUGUUAAAACAUCAUGUGCAAUCUCUUAAAUGCCCUUCAAGAAGGGGGCAGCCAUUGAGUGUUUGGACUAGAUGAAUGGGACGCCUCUUCAAAGCACUCCAAAGCCGUGGUUCUUCAAGCUUCAAGAUGUGAAAUCCCUUAGGGCUCUCGGGUAGGUAUCAAGGAAGGCUCCCAAGCGACCUUCCAAACUUGGAAUUACUUUAUUGUAUGCUCGAAACGGGUCCUCCAUGCAUGUCCUUGUACCCUCAAUGUGACCAAAGCUUGAAUCCUCAUGCCUUGGCCUCGAAUGAUGUCAUCAAAAACUACUAGGGCCAUUUGUAUUGUAUCAUCCUCCCCUUUUUGAAAAGGAUUCGACCUCGAAUCCAAACCUUGCAAGACCAAAGAGAAGACAAACAAGCACAUUCUUAUGACAUGAGUGUUAGAGUUAGCACAAUAAAUAACAUCAUCAUGCCACGACGGUACAUACUUGAAAUAUAACUACGAAUCCUUUGUCUUGGUUAAGAAAAGUUUAGUAAGAAUGUUACAAAGGAAUUGACUAUGACAAGUAACAUGAGAUAAAGAAACUACAAAGGUCUCAAUGGUAUUACUAAGUCCGAAAGGUAAGGCUACCCUUGUCUUAGGAACCAGAAGGCACAAUUGUUUCAUUACCUCUUUAAGUGGCCUCAUCAAUCGUGGUGUCACUAUUGGUCUCAAAGUCCACCAAUCCCUUAUAGCAUUGUCAUUUAAACAAGUGGACUAACCAACUAAACCCCUACCUCUACUUAAUGCAAACCCGAAACUAACAUGGAUGUCAUCAUUGGCAAAGAGGUAGUAUAGAAAAGAAUUAAGUGUAAAGGCAUGCAUGGGUGAAGACAAAGCAUUUAAGCAUGUACACGCUCUUUCCUUCAAACAAAUAUACAACUUGGUAUCCACAAGUUGGGAUUCAUGCAAUUUAAGCAUAAGUGUGUCAAGCAAGGAUGCACACUUAGUAACAUUACCCCAAAGAGUCAAUGGCACCUUUGCCCCCUUGGGUUGUUAAGAAGGACUACACAUUCCUUACUCUUAAGAGUACUCUCAUCUUUCAAAAAGAGAUUUCCAUCUUUACGAGGAAUGUUGUCACACCAUAGUGGGUUAGCAUAUAGGCUAUAGCCUUCAAAAUAAGCUAUACCAUCACUCUCACCACUAGGUUCAUUAGGAGUGUUUAUAUCAUUUUCAAACAAGACAUUAUACCUAAAGAGAGCAUGAUCUAUCCCGCGGGCAGAUUUGGAACAAGCAAGUUCACUCUCUAAAAGGUCAUUAUCAAGUUUCAAAGAGGUUUCCAAGCACAUGAUUAUCCCUAUGAGCCAAGCAAACAUUAUAAUCUCUAUCAAAGGACAAGUUCACGGGUUCACUCCUAUAAACAUUUUCAUUUACAUGAUUUCGAUGAGCAAAACUAAUAAUAAGACUUUCAUUACUCAAUAUGCUCAAAGAAUCAUCUCCAAUCUCGUGAUCAACUCUAUCAACAUCAUCACUAACUUGAGCCCUCUCAAACACAUCAUACACAUGCUCAAGUAGUGGACUAUGUUCGUGAGUAUGUUAAUCAUUACACACAUCCUCACUAGACUCACCUUGAUUUUCACAAGGGUCAACUAGUGUGUGAAUACUCUUAUGACAUGGCAAUAGAACCUUAUUCAAGUUAAAAGUGCUAGCACUAGAUGGACACAAAUUAUUCUUACGAGAAGAAUCAAUUUUGUCAUCUAUAGGAUCAACCAGUGCUUGCUUACUUUACAAUAAAAAUUAGAUCUUCUUGCAACCUAGCAAUUCUAAGAGUGUCACAAAGGGAAGACUCAUGCAAUCCUUCUUUAGGCAAACCACCAACUACAUCCACUUGGCUACUACUAGCCACAUCACAACAUUCUAAAAUUGUAGGAGUGUCGAAGAUAGCAUUUUUACCUUGUAGAUCAUAUGAGUGCGGCCUUUACCUUGGUGUGUGUCUUGGCAGCCCACUUGCUCCUUUGGAAAAGAGUGAUUGGAGUUCCUUUGACCUUCCAUGCGACCUAACCUUUCAUUUAUUGAUGACAAGUCCGUGUGUAACCUUUCACACUUACGGUUGAGAGCUUCAAGGUAGGCCAAGAUAGUAUGGGCAACAUUCUUAUCCAUGAGACCUAAGAAAGAAAAUAAAAAAAACAGACAGACACGUUAGCUCAAAAAAGUAUCCUCACCACGCUCUCACACUUUUGAUCACCUCACACUUGGUUUCACAAGUGUUGUAAGUCGGCCUGUAAUCCGUGAGACGUUGAGACAUUGAGGGGUGAGUUCUACUCUUGUCCGGAAUGGAUUUUCGUUUGAAAGACUCGAAGAAAUCUUGUCGGAUGUGAGCCAAGAAACUACAACGAUUCACAAACGAUAAAAGCACACAACAAACGCAAACACG